rnacentral:rRNA from 1 species
GGUCAGCGGCGGACGGGAGAGUAACACGUGGGCAACCUGCCCGCAAGACCGGGAUAACUCCGGGAAACCGGAGCUAAUACCGGAUAACACCAAAGACCGCAUGGUCUUUGGUUGAAAGGCGGCUUCGGCUGUCACUUGCGGAUGGGCCCGCGGCGCAUUAGCUAGUUGGUGAGGUAACGGCUCACCAAGGCGACGAUGCGUAGCCGGCCUGAGAGGGUGACCGGCCACACUGGGACUGAGACACGGCCCAGACUCCUACGGGAGGCAGCAGUAGGGAAUCUUCCGCAAUGGACGAAAGUCUGACGGAGCGACGCCGCGUGAGCGAAGAAGGCCUUCGGGUCGUAAAGCUCUGUUGUGAGGGACGAAGGAGCGCCGUUUGAAUAAGGCGGCGCGGUGACGGUACCUCACGAGAAAGCCCCGGCUAACUACGUGCCAGCAGCCGCGGUAAUACGUAGGGGGCGAGCGUUGUCCGGAAUUAUUGGGCGUAAAGCGCGCGCAGGCGGUCCUUUAAGUCUGAUGUGAAAGCCCACGGCUCAACCGUGGAGGGUCAUUGGAAACUGGGGGACUUGAGUGCAGGAGAGGAGAGCGGAAUUCCACGUGUAGCGGUGAAAUGCGUAGAGAUGUGGAGGAACACCAGUGGCGAAGGCGGCUCUCUGGCCUGUAACUGACGCUGAGGCGCGAAAGCGUGGGGAGCAAACAGAUUAGAUACCCUGGUAGUCC